UCACAGGCAUGCAGCAACGUACGAUUCGUCGUCGUCAAUGGAGGUUCAGGCGUGUUGCCGGAGCUGGGAGGGACAAGAUGGCAAGGCCGGCAGGUACAGCCACAGCCACACCCACAGGCAGGCUAGCCGGGAUGCCGGCCGGCAAGAUCGAUCGGCUCCAGCUAGUUUAGCUCCCAGGCCAGUCAAGGUAGAGGCAGCUCAAAGUGUAGUCAUCUCUUGAUCGUUGAUUGCUCCAGUCCUAUCCCAUGCUCCUCCUUGAGCUCCCAAUCAUUGAGCUCUCGGAUCCUCUCUGCUCUUCUCUGAUCUGGUGUCGUUCCAGUUUCCAAACAUGUUGCAGAAUGAUGAACACUGAACAACAAGAUUAUAAGGUAGGUAAGUAGUUGAUCAUUUCAGGUUUCCAGAGAUGAUAAAGCAAUCAGGGAUGCAUGCACACUGAUGCUGAUUGUACAAACUCCAAGCAAGUCAGGCCCAGGUCCAGGUCCAGGUCCAUUAGGUUUCUGUUCAUUUGAAGUUGGUCUCAAUCAGUUUCAGACAAUGUUGCUGUAAAGAUAAUCUCUCGAACUCCAAGGCUAUAUCAUUGCUGGCCAUACUGAUAGAGGUUGUGUUACCUGAAAGGUUGUCAGAGGACACAAACCAACUGUCA
rnacentral:precursor_RNA from 1 species